AACAGGAUUAGAUACCCUGGUAGUCCACGCCCUAAACGAUGUCUACUAGUUGUUGGUGGAGUAAAAUCCAUUAGUAACGCAGCUAACGCGUGAAGUAGACCGCCUGGGGAGUACGGUCGCAAGAUUAAAACUCAAAGGAAUUGACGGGAGCCCGCACAAGCGGUGGAUUAUGUGGAUUAAUUCGAUGCAACGCGAAAAACCUUACCUGGCCUUGACAUGUACGGAACUUUCCAGAGAUGGAUUGGUGCUCGAAAGAGAGCCGUAACACAGGUGCUGCAUGGCUGUCGUCAGCUCGUGUCGUGAGAUGUUGGGUUAAGUCCCGCAACGAGCGCAACCCUUGCCAUUAAUUGCCAUCAUUUAGUUGGGCACUUUAAUGGGACUGCCGGUGACAAACCGGAGGAAGGUGGGGAUGACGUCAAGUCCUCAUGGCCCUUAUGGCCAGGGCUUCACACGUAAUACAAUGGUCGGUACAGAGGGUUGCCAAGCCGCGAGGUGGAGCCAAUCCCAGAAAGCCGAUCGUAGUCCGGAUUGUAGUCUGCAACUCGACUACAUGAAGUCGGAAUCGCUAGUAAUCGCGGAUCAGCAUGUCGCGGUGAAUACGUUCCCGGGCCUUGUACACACCGCCCGUCACACCAUGGGAGUGGGUUCCACCAGAAGUAGGUAGUCUAACCGCAAGGGGGACGCUUACCACGGUGGGGUUCAUGACUGGGGUGAAGUCGUAACAAGGUAACC
rnacentral:rRNA from 1 species